UACGUAGGGACCAAGCGUUGUUCGGAUUUACUGGGCGUAAAGGGCGCGUAGGCGGCGUGACAAGUCACUUGUGAAAUCUCUGGGCUUAACCCAGAACGGCCAAGUGAAACUGUUGUGCUAGAGUGCGGAAGGGGCAAUCGGAAUUCUCGGUGUAGCGGUGAAAUGCGUAGAUAUCGAGAGGAACACCUGAGGUGAAGACGGGUUGCUGGGCCGACACUGACGCUGAUGCGCGAAAGCCAGGGGAGCAAACGGG
rnacentral:rRNA from 1 species